UUUUUUUCUUUUUUUUUAAAUAGCACUUCAUUAAGAUUACAUUAAGCAGAAUUUUAAAUCAUUUGCUUUUCAUCUGAUCGCAGAAUAGAAAGAUUAAUUUUAUGUCUUGAAUAUCUCAAGUAAGGAGUUUUACUUCAAAAAAUACUUUUAUACAUCCUUUUCUUCAUUGUGUUCUUUCUGUGUACCUUCACAUUGUCAAAGUCGAUGUUUCAUUUUGCCUAGAAAACAAAAGUUGUUAUAAACAGUAUUUUAAAGAAACUUUGUAUUUUGAUCUUUUUGCAUGUGCUUUGUGAUUCAGACAGAAAUGUUAUAGUGGUGGUGGCACUAAAUAAGAGAUACUUUAAAUAUAAUGUGUAUUACCUUAAUAAAAUAAGUUCUCAAGUUAUUUCAGUUUUAUUCAAAUUUCUUACUGAAUUUCAGAUAUUUAUUCUAAUCUCUGAAUAUUAUAUUUGAGAACAAUUUGAAACUGAAUUUAAGAUCAAAAAAACCCUCAGUUUUGUGGAUAUUCUACAAAAAUCUAACAAUAGUUUGAUAAGUUCAGAUAAAGUGCAAAGUUAAUGUCUUUAAGUUAAGCAGAAAAAAGACAUCCUAAUUUUGAAAGGUUCAAACUUUCAAUCUAGUGAUCUUACAGAGUUGCACUUCUGAAGAUAUGAAAUAUUUAAUGAGACUUUGUCCAUUAGACUCAUGAAACUUAAUUUUUUUUGUCAUCUUUCAUCUGCUGUUAUAUUUACUUGAGAACUUCAGAGUCCCUCCAUUUGCUAAAAUAGCAUGACUAUUUUAAAGAGUGCAAGUGAUGUCAGUAACACUGGGGAAUUAUGAAAUAUCUUUGCUAAUUUUUUUAGUAUACACCUUCUCAGGUCCUUAUAUUUUUAUCAACACCUUCGUGCUCCUGCAGAAUAAUGUCUUGUGUGUCAUCAGUGUGCCAGUAGAAAAUGUUGCUGUUAAAGAUCAGGCAAUACAAUUUGCAAGUGACAGACUUUCCUGUAUUUAUCUGUUAUCUAUUUGAGAACACUGCAAUUUUAUACAGCAUAAACUAUUCCAGAGAGGUAAUAGAAGUUGGCUCAUGGUAAUUUUUAACACUCUCUUUGUACUUCAGAAUUGGUGAUAUGAUGCCUUUCAAAUGUAUAGGAACUCAAACCUAAAGUUAUGAUUUAUUAAAUAGCUAAUUAAAUAUUAUGUUUUACUAGUAAUUAUAUUUGGAAUGUGUUGUAUUCAUUUUAACCUUAAAAGCAUAAACCAAAAAAAAAUUAUGUUAACAUACUUUGAUGCUGAAAGUAAUUUGUAGCCAAUUAACAAUUUUAUCUGACUUUCAAAAAAGGUUUUUAUUAUACAUUUCAAAUAUGCUUUUGAGAGGAGCUGCAUACUGAAAACCAAAGAGGCUCUUUUCAUGUCUCAAAUACUCAGAAAAUACAGUCUCACAGUAGCUUCAUAGAUUCUUUGAUUCUCUCUGAAAUAUUUUUAAAUACUGCCCACAUAUUGCCUUUCUACUCUGAGAAAAUUAAUUCAUAAAUUCUCCCUUGCAUGUAAUCUUAGAUAUCAUCAGUAUAUGAUGAUGAUCUCAUACUAUUAUUUCCCUUGAAACUACAUUUGCUUUAACCUGUAACAGUUUUGAGGGAGGUGGAAGAAUCUUGUUUCAAGGAGUUUUUUCUAGUUCAUGCCUCAGCUUGCCCAUGGCUUGUGGCCAGGUAAUUUACUUUUGCAGGAAACCCUGUGCUAUUUGCGCUACUCUCCACCUGCUUAUCCAGAGAAAGAGAACAGAUGCCCGUGCAUUUUUAUUUAUCUCCCUCAAAAGAGAUAAAUAAUAAUCCACCAUAAUCAGGGAUCUGAACUGGAAAGAAAAAGGAAUGGAAAAUACCAGAAGUAGAUCAGCAAGGUUGCAUAUAGUGCUAUUACCUUAUAAGCACUUCAAAGAAAAUUCUUUAAAAAAUUAACUUAGAAAUUAAUUUAUAUAUUGGCCAGUCCUUGCUGUAACGCUCACUGGUGCCAUGACAUAUGUUAGACAGCACUCAGCAGCUGCUCUUAGCAGAAAAAUUUUUAGUUUAAUGAGUUACCUGAACUCUCCUUGGACUAUGCUUUUUCUUCCCCUUUUCAUUGAUGUAUCUUCAAAUCUUAUGGAAAAUGCACGGCAUGUUUAGAAGUAGAAAAAACAAAACCAAUAGGAGCCCUUCUGUCAAGUUUAUGUGUGGAAGAGAAUCUUUGUUCUUCAUAUUUCCAAAGAAGACCUUUUGUAUAUAGUAGAUACAGGUUUUGAGAGCCAAGAAUUCUGGUUCAUAUGAUUCUAUGAGAGGGCCUGUAGGUGUGCUGCAGAGAAGAGACCAAAUUAUUUUCAUCAUGGAAAGAAUUCAGAAGAAUAUCAGAAUUGGGUUUCUUUUUUUCUUCUGCUGGAAGAUACACAGAAAGCCCAGCAUGCUUUCCAUACUGCUGACUUGUUAUAACUGCUGAAUGUGAUUUACACCCAUAUUCCUAUAGCUGGAUUUAGUGGGCUGACCCUGGCUGGACACCAGGCACUCACCAAAUCCUCUCUAUCACUCCUCUCUGCAACUGGAUGGGGGAGGGAUGAUAUAACAAAGGGUUCAUGGGUUGAGACAAGGAGAGAUCACUCAUUAAAUACCAUCACACACAAAACAGACUAAAAUUAGAGAUAUUAAUUGAAUUUAUUGCUAAUAAAAUCAGAGAGGAUAAUGAGGAGUAAAAUAAGACCUUUAAAAACACCUUCCCUCACCCAUCCCUCCUUCCCAGCUCUACCUGCUCCCCAUCAACAGCACAGGGAGAAAGGGAGUGGGGGUUAUGAUCAGUUCAUUAUUUGUGGCUUCUCUCACUGCUCGGGAAGAGGAGUCCUUUCCAUGCUCCAUCAUGGGAUCCUUCCAACAGGAAAUAGUUCUCCAUUCAUUUUUCCAACAUGAGUCCAUCACAUGGGAAAUAGUUUUUCGCAGACUAUUUCAGCAUGGGUCAUUCUUCCAUGGCAUGCAGUCUUUCAAGGACAGGCUGCUCCAGUGUGGUACACCACAUGAUGACAAAUCAUACCAAGAAGCCUGCUCCUUCUCUGUCCAUGGAUCUGCUGGUCCCUGCCAGGAGCCUGUUCCAGCACGGACCUCCCACAGAUCCACAACUUCCUUUCAGGCACCACCUGCUCUGGCAUGGAUCUCCUCCAAGGGCUGCAGGGGCACAGCUGCCUGACCAUGGGCUGCACUAUGGGCUUCAGGGGAAUCUCAGCUCUGGUGCCCAGAGCACCUCCUGCCCCUCCUGCGCUGACCUUGGUGUCUGCAGAGCUGUUCCACUCACAUAUUCUCACUCAGCUGUUCUCUGGCUGCAAUUUCACCUACACAAGAACUUUUGUUCCUUCUUAAAUGUCCUAUCAUGGAGGUGUUACCACCAUCUCUGACUGGUCCAGCCAGCUUUAGCCAGCAGCAUGUCCAUCUUGUACUUGGCUGGUAUUGGCUUUCUUGGACAUGGAGGAAGAUUCUGGCACUUUCCCACAGAAGCCACUUCUGUGCUCCUCCUUCUACCAAAAUCUGGCCACAUAAACCCAAUACAUUUGAAAUAGCUUUUCCUGUUACAUAUCAAAGCAAUCACUUUUGUAGAUUACAAAUCUACAUUUCACUAUACUUACUAGAUUUGCUCUUAAUUAUUUUAUCCUCUUUAUCUGCAUUUUGCCUCAUUAAAUGUUCUUUAAUGAUUUGAUUUUACUCCUUUGUUCAAUAUUACGAUACUGACAACUUGCUGUGGAACAUAGACUGAACUGUUCUAUUGCACAGGAACGUCUGUAAAUUAGUGUUGGCCUGAUUUGCAUAGUCAAUGAUACUUCACAAUUCUGUUUCAAAGGUGUCAGAAAGCAAAAUGAAAGAAAAUUAUUGACAAAACUGAACAAAAUUUGCUUGAAUGCUUUAGAUUUUUAUACUGGGGGAAAAAAUGUGUCAGGAUUAUGUAUAACCUCAAUAGGAAAGCUAUCUGUUUUCCUGAUUGUAAUGCUUCCAACUUUGUCUGUCAAAAUGGACUUCCCUGUAACCAAGAAGUAGAAGAAUUCAUGACACACAGUGAGUCUAUCAGUAGUCCUGUGUACAUGGUGUACCGUGGCCAGUGGGGUCACCACACAGACUGUGACAAUCCCAUAGACUUUUUUCAUUGCAAAUAUAUCUCUAUGAUUUGAACUUGUCAGCAUAUCUGUCCUUCUUUAUUUUUAAUUCAAAUUUUCAGGAGAAACAUGUUCUGUUCGCAUCAAUGAGUGUCAAGACAGACCCUGCUGGAAUGGAGGAACCUGUGAAGAGGACAUAAAUGGAUUCAAAUGCAAUUGCCCCUUCGGUAAGCAUUUAUACUUUUUAUAUAAUUCCUACAUUGGCACAAUAUGACAGAAUACUUGCUACUCAAGUGCUAUAAAGCCUUGUGUAAUGCAGGCAUUCUGCUUGCAUUUUGAAGUGUACAGAGCUAGUUAUUUAGACUAAUAAAAAGAAUGUUUUUGUCUAAUUUGUCAUAAGAAAAUCUUAUAAAUGAUUGAUUGCGUAGCUAAAAAAGUACUUGCAGUACAAGAACAUAUUGAGAAAGAAAUAUGACAGAACUGAAGAUUUAAAAUUAUUUAGUGUAUAUAUGUAUAAAUUAAAUGAUUAAAUUAUUAAAUUAUUUAUUGUAUAUAUGUAUAGACACCUUACAGCAACACAUUCUGUCAAACAAUAUAGGGUUUAGGCAGAAAAAUGUUGAAACUUAGCAAACAUAAAAACCUCAGUCUUUCAAAUCCUAUUCCACUGGCCAAAUUACUAAUUACCAAAGGACCUGAACAUUGCUCUAAAGUUUGUUUGACCUCAAUCUAGUUGCCUGAUCUUUGUCAUAUGUGAAAUGUCCUGAAGUAUCCAAGGUAUUGUGUAAAGCUGGAAGAUAUGCUAGAGGAUAAAAGGGACAUCCAAGAUGCAUCAGGCCAGGUAGCAAAUGAACCAAUCACAAUUAGAGAGAAAGAUAUAUGAUACUGAAAGUUUUGCUUUGCUAAUUUUAUAUAUAUAUAUUUAUUGUUUAAUUUGAGAUUUUACAUGUUACUUUGUGUUUACUAAGAUAAAGUAGAAAAGGGUGGGUUAGAAAUUCCUAACCUUAGAAAUUGCUUUUACCAAAGGAGCCUGAGGUACUGAUUUUGCAACUUGUAAGUUCAUUCAUAAAUAUGGGUGAUAAAUUACAGACAAAUUCUAAAAUGGUUUUUGUUUUUAUGUGUGCAUUUAUAAGCUCAUUGUUACUAUGGAAAAUAAGGUCAAGAAAACAAAUUUUAUACACUUAUGGACUAAAAAGUAUGUAUAGUACUGUGGUGUUUUUAAGAUAAAUGGAUAGUGAUCAGUAAAGCCUGGGAACGUCAGAGUACUGAAAUACAGUUCUCCAAAGAACCUUCUCAAACUGAAAAACUUAUUUUAAGGGAACUUCAAUGUAUUUAAUAACAUAAGGUCCUUAAAAGCCUUAAGGUUGGUAUCUGUUGAGUUGGGAACUGAAGACAAUACUGAGUUGUAUCAUCAAAGAUAAGGUGAUGCUUUCAAGUUUGUUGCUUCACUGAGACAAAUUUAAGCCUGCCAGGUGUUUCACUGAAUAAAGGCUGUAGCAAAACAUUAACACAAACAUUAUUUCCUUUGUUCUUUUGAGAUGGAGAUUAUCACAUUCAAUGCACCACUUUGCUAUCAUGUGUUUGACUCUUGUUGGUGUUUACCAAAACUUUGGUCUACAGUGGAUUUUACACAGAAGCAUGCUGCAACUCUUUAUUUCCACAGAUCUAAAAGGAGAUGUCAUUCAUACAGCAGAAUGCAUGUCAGUGACAGGAAAACAAAAUUGUUGUGGCAUUGUGUUAGUAAUCAUCUGUGCCUCUUUCUUUAAAGAAAAACUUCAUAAAGGUUUCCUUACCCAAUUAAUUUUUGUAAUAAUUCCCAGUGUGUGUGUGUCAUCUGGAACAAUGAAGUUUAUGUAAUGGACAUAUGAACUAAGACUAUGAGUUUAAUUCUAGUGACUCUAAAGAAAUGCUGUGUAUAGCAGUGGUUCUUGAUCAUCAUCAGUCAAAUGAUCAAAAAAACCUCAUAGUGAACCAGGGGGCAUCUGUAGAAAUGAUCAUUUUUUUUUUUAGAAGAGUUAAGACUUGCUGUCAUUUGCAGC
ensembl:lncRNA